CGAUUCGACGCGGGUGACUGGUUAUAUUACGUAGAACUUUUGACUUUUGGUUAGGUGUUUAUUAUACCCGUGACUAAUAAUCUUUUCUUGUCUCUGCUUUAUUUAUUAGUUGAUAUAAAAUCUUUUCUGAAUAUCUGUUUACCUGUGGUUUCCUUAUAUAAAAUAUAAAAUCCAGGCAUUUAUGCCAACUAAAUCUGAAAUAUUAAAAAAUACGGGAGAGUCGGAAAAUUUAAAUUCAUCUUGAUCGACGGUUACUCGUUGCAGCGACAUUGUUUUAUGUGGAGAACAAAGCGACGUUAACGGAAGAACACCGCCUCGCGUCUUUCCCCGUCCUUCAUACGAUAGAUCUGACAGAUUAAGGUCCUAAAUCAAUAGUCUUUGGCAUAAAAAAUAAGGUUGAUACUUCCCGUAUAAGGAAUGCUAGAUGGGUCGAUUAAUGUAUGAAAAAUAAACGCGUCCUUUCGAACUAAACAACUUUCGUUAAAGACAUCUUUUUGAUAAAUUUAGUUAAAAAAUAUCUUGUGUAUUAUUGAUUACUCACACUCUGAUUUUUUAAAAGGACUUGUGAUGAUUCAUACGCGUACUUGGUUCAAUUUGAUUUGGGAUAGCCGAUGGCGAAGAGGAGAAAAUCCAUUUUACGCAUACCUAACAGCCUGUGCUGCUAUGUGAAACUGGACUAGUAUUGUCUUUUGGUAACGGGUGCUUUCCUCAGAUAUAGAAUCCGUACAGUACCCGGGCCCUCUAGGACCAUAGGGGUUGGAGAAAACGCCCAACCAUCGCACAAGGCACCCAGUGCCUUGCUCCCUGGAUUAGCUAAGCCUGCAGGGGCUGUCGCUUGUCUCAGGUCGAACGGGGCACAUUCUAAGCACGUGAAACUGGACUGGAUGAUAUGCCCUAUCUCCUCUUAUGUCUCCUCCUUUCUUCAUCACCGCGUGGUACAACAAUGUAGUUAACAACCCUGGAAUCACCGCAAGCGUUAUUUCAGGGUUGGUCUCAUCGUUAGUUUGUACCUUAUACGAGGAGACUACAUAGGUAUCCUAUUUUCUGCAGCCAUUUUUCUUUCCAUAUAUUUUCCGCUUCAUUUUCCAAUCUCUGAGCCCUGAGGGACAAUGACAUACGCUUCUCUCGUCACCUUCUCAUCGAUACUUCUUACUACUACUUUUAUGUCCGAUAAGUAAUCGGUGUCGGCAAUCCCGCAAACGACAUGUAGCGGCCAGAAGACUGAGUCAGAGGACUAUUCAGAUCAUGUCGUUGUUUUGCCCCGGAGUAUCAAUAUCGUUAGGAUACAAAUAAUGUAAUAAUAGGUAAACUUUGGGAAAAACGAUGUCGCAGCUAUGCAUAACCGUCGAACAAAGACGAAUUUGAAUCUUCCGACCGAGUGCCCAACCAACCGAAAAGAGUUUAGUAUUUCCGAGUAUCUUUCUGUACCAACGAGCGAUCUAAGUGUUAUCUACCGAAUUAUUAGACGAGUAUUUAUCGAGUAUUUAUCCGCGAUUUUAUUUUACUAUUUAUACUUUGUACUAACGACUCAACGAAUAUAGGCUGUACAUUAACUUAUUGUUUUAAAUAAAUUCGACGGUUGUGACAACAAA